rnacentral:rRNA from 1 species
UACGAAGGGGGCUAGCGUUGCUCGGAAUCACUGGGCGUAAAGGGUGCGUAGGCGGGUCUUUAAGUCAGAGGUGAAAGCCUGGAGCUCAACUCCAGAACUGCCUUUGAUACUGAGGAUCUCGAGUUCGGGAGAGGUGAGUGGAACUGCGAGUGUAGAGGUGAAAUUCGUAGAUAUUCGGAAGAACACCAGUGGCGAAGGCGACUUACUGGACACAUAUUGACGCUGAGGUGCGAAAGCGUGGGGAGCAAAC